GAGGAAUAUUGGUCAAUGGGCGAGAGCCUGAACCAGCCAAGUAGCGUGAAGGAUGAAGGCUCUAUGGGUCGUAAACUUCUUUUAUAUGGGAAUAAAGUUUUCCACGUGUGGAAUUUUGUAUGUACCAUAUGAAUAAGGAUCGGCUAACUCCGUGCCAGCAGCCGCGGUAAUACGGAGGAUCCGAGCGUUAUCCGGAUUUAUUGGGUUUAAAGGGAGCGUAGGUGGAUUGUUAAGUCAGUUGUGAAAGUUUGCGGCUCAACCGUAAAAUUGCAGUUGAAACUGGCAGUCUUGAGUACAGUAGAGGUGGGCGGAAUUCGUGGUGUAGCGGUGAAAUGCUUAGAUAUCACGAAGAACUCCGAUUGCGAAGGCAGCUCACUAGACUGUUACUGACACUGAUGCUCGAAAGUGUGGGUAUCAAAC
rnacentral:rRNA from 1 species